AGAACGAACGCUGGCGGCAGGCCUAACACAUGCAAGUCGAACGCUCUAGCAAUAGAGAGUGGCGCACGGGUGCGUAACGCGUGGGAAUCUACCCUUGACUGCGGAACAACAUCGGGAAACUGAUGCUAAUACCGCAUAAUGUCUUCGGACCAAAGAUUUAUCGGUCAAGGAUAAGCCCGCGUUGGAUUAGCUAGUUGGUGAGGUAAUGGCUCACCAAGGCUCCGAUCCAUAGCUGGUCUGAGAGGAUGAUCAGCCACACUGGGACUGAGACACGGCCCAGACUCCUACGGGAGGCAGCAGUGAGGAAUAUUGGACAAUGGGGGCAACCCUGAUCCAGCCAUGCCGCGUGAGUGAUGAAGGCCUUCGGUUGUAAACUCUUUUAGAUGUGACGAUGAUGACGGUAACAUCAAGAAAAGCUACCGGCUAACUUCGCGCCAGCAGCCGCGGU
rnacentral:rRNA from 1 species